GAGCCGGAGGGAAACCGAGUCUUAACCGGGCGUUAAGUUGCAGGGUAUAGACCCGAAACCCGGUGAUCUAGCCAUGGGCAGGUUGAAGGUUGGGUAACACUAACUGGAGGACCGAACCGACUAAUGUUGAAAAAUUAGCGGAUGACCUGUGGCUGGGGGUGAAAGGCCAAUCAAACCGGGAGAUAGCUGGUUCUCCCCGAAAGCUAUUUAGGUAGCGCCUCGUGAAUUCAUCUCCGGGGGUAGAGCACUGUUUCGGCUAGGGGGCCAUCCCGGCUUACCAACCCGAUGCAAACUGCGAAUACCGGAGAAUGUUAUCACGGGAGACACACGGCGGGUGCUAACGUCCGUCGUGAAGAGGGAAACAACCCAGACCGCCAGCUAAGGUCCCAAAGUCAUGGUUAAGUGGGAAACGAUGUGGGAAGGCCCAGACAGCCAGGAUGUUGGCUUAGAAGCAGCCAUCAUUUAAAGAAAGCGUAAUAGCUCACUGGUCGAGUCGGCCUGCGCGGAAGAUGUAACGGGGCUAAACCAUGCACCGAAGCUGCGGCAGCGACACUGUGUGUUGUUGGGUAGGGGAGCGUUCUGUAAGCCUGUGAAGGUGUGUCGUGAGGCAUGCUGGAGGUAUCAGAAGUGCGAAUGCUGACAUAAGUAACGAUAAAGCGGGUGAAAAGCCCGCUCGCCGGAAGACCAAGGGUUCCUGUCCAACGUUAAUCGGGGCAGGGUGAGUCGACCCCUAAGGCGAGGCCGAAAGGCGUAGUCGAUGGGAAACGGGUUAAUAUUCCCGUACUUGGUGUUACUGCGAAGGGGGGACGGAGAAGGCUAUGUUGGCCGGGCGACGGUUGUCCCGGUUUAAGCGUGUAGGUGUGUGUUCCAGGUAAAUCCGGUUCACUUUAACACUGAGGCGUGACGACGAGGCACUACGGUGCUGAAGCAACAAAUGCCCUGCUUCCAGGAAAAGCCUCUAAGCAUCAGGUAACAUCAAAUCGUACCCCAAACCGACACAGGUGGUCAGGUAGAGAAUACCAAGGCGCUUGAGAGAACUCGGGUGAAGGAACUAGGCAAAAUGGUGCCGUAACUUCGGGAGAAGGCACGCUGACACGUAGGUGAAGUGAUUUACUCAUGGAGCUGAAGUCAGUCGAAGAUACCAGCUGGCUGCAACUGUUUAUUAAAAACACAGCACUGUGCAAACACGAAAGUGGACGUAUACGGUGUGACGCCUGCCCGGUGCCGGAAGGUUAAUUGAUGGGGUCAGCGCAAGCGAAGCUCCUGAUCGAAGCCCCGGUAAACGGCGGCCGUAACUAUAACGGUCCUAAGGUAGCGAAAUUCCUUGUCGGGUAAGUUCCGACCUGCACGAAUGGCGUAAUGAUGGCCAGGCUGUCUCCACCCGAGACUCAGUGAAAUUGAACUCGCUGUGAAGAUGCAGUGUACCCGCGGCAAGACGGAAAGACCCCGUGAACCUUUACUAUAGCUUGACACUGAACAUUGAGCCUUGAUGUGUAGGAUAGGUGGGAGGCUUUGAAGUGUGGACGCCAGUCUGCAUGGAGCCGACCUUGAAAUACCACCCUUUAAUGUUUGAUGUUCUAACGUGGACCCGUUACCCGGGUUGCGGACAGUGUCUGGUGGGUAGUUUGACUGGGGCGGUCUCCUCCUAAAGAGUAACGGAGGAGCACGAAGGUUGGCUAAUCCUGGUCGGACAUCAGGAGGUUAGUGCAAUGGCAUAAGCCAGCUUGACUGCGAGCGUGACGGCGCGAGCAGGUGCGAAAGCAGGUCAUAGUGAUCCGGUGGUUCUGAAUGGAAGGGCCAUCGCUCAACGGAUAAAAGGUACUCCGGGGAUAACAGGCUGAUACCGCCCAAGAGUUCAUAUCGACGGCGGUGUUUGGCACCUCGAUGUCGGCUCAUCACAUCCUGGGGCUGAAGUAGGUCCCAAGGGUAUGGCUGUUCGCCAUUUAAAGUGGUACGCGAGCUGGGUUUAGAACGUCGUGAGACAGUUCGGUCCCUAUCUGCCGUGGGCGCUGGAGAACUGAGGGGGGCUGCUCCUAGUACGAGAGGACCGGAGUGGACGCAUCACUGGUGUUCGGGUUGUCAUGCCAAUGGCACUGCCCGGUAGCUAAAUGCGGAAGAGAUAAGUGCUGAAAGCAUCUAAGCACGAAACUUGCCCCGAG
rnacentral:rRNA from 1 species